ACACACAGAGGAGAACACCAUGAAACCAUGGGGCAGAGACUGGAGUGAUACAACCAAAAACCCAGGAGCACCUGGAGUUGCCAAGGUCUGGAAGAGGCAGGAAGGAUCCUCCCCUAUAGCCUCCUGAGGGAGUACAGCCCUGAGACACCUUGAUCUCAGCCUCCUGGACUCCAGGACUGGGUAAGGAUAAGUAUCUGUUGUUUAAGCCCCUGGUUUGUGGUAACUUGUUAUAGCAGCCACAGAAAACUAAUUCAGACAUAUUCAUAGACUCCAGGGAUUCUGAUGUCUGUAUCUUGAACAGCAUGAGGGAUCAUUAUUAAGCCAUUGGCAGGGCUCGGUUCUAAUUGUGGCCAUGGAUUGCCUUUGGUCUGUUGGACACGUCCUUUUCUCUGGAACAGCCAUGGCAACUCCAUGUGAUUAGAUUAGGAUGGGAUUCUAGGGUGGAGAUCCCAUUCCAACCAUGGGUGGACAUUUAAUCCAGGAACGGCCAAGUCCUUCAGCCAUAAUGAUUGGUACCAAGAUGGGUGAUAUCGUUUGGCUGUGUCUCCACCCAAAUCUCAUCUUGAAUUGUAGUUCCAUAAUGUCCUAAACAUUAGAAACGGUAAAUGUUAGCUAACAUGGCAAAAGGGACUUUGCGGCUAUAAUGAGUUAAGAAUCCUGAGAUGAGAUGAUCCUGGAUUAUCCUGAUGGGUUCUAAGUAAUCACAAGAGUCCUUAUAAGAGGGAGGUAGGAGUGUCAAAGUCAGAGAAGGAGAUGUGAAGAGGGAAGCAGAGGUCAGAGAGAGAGAGAGAGAGACUGGAGGAUACUGUGCUGCUGGCUUUGAAGAUGGAGGAAGAAGCCAUAAGCCAAGGAAUACCACAGCCUCUAGAAGAGGGAAAUCUCAAGGAAAUGGAUUUUCUUUUGGAACCUCCAGAAGGAACCAGCCUGCUGACACCUUGAUUUUUCGACUUCUGAUUACCAGAACUAUAAGAAAAAUUGUGUUAUUUUAAGCAAUUAAGUUUGUGACAUUUUGUUACAGCACCAAUAGCAAACUCAUACACUCCUUUAAUGGUCUUUUAACCUCAGGUCCUCUCUCUCUCUCUUUCUUCUCCUCCUCUUUCCCUUCUCCUUCUUCUUUUUCUCUCAAUCUCUCUCUCUCUCAUUCUCUUUCUCUCCAUCUGUUCUCUCCAGAAGGGCAGAUGAACUUUUUAUUUACAUGGGGGCUCUUGAGUCCAUAAGAGAGAAGUCAGAAGCUGCCAGGUCUCCUAAGUCUAGGGCAGGAAGGAUAGUAUCAGCAUCACUUCUGCGGCAUUCUGUUGGUCUAUGCAAAUCAGAGGCUCAUCCUAGAUCCAAGGGGAGGAAAAAGGCUCCAACUUGUAGCUGGGCUCAUUUGGAAGGUAAUGGGAGGACUUGGCAGCUGUAAGACAUGUACCACAUCUAGACUUCAACCUACAGAAAAGUCCAAAGAUACACCAACAGCAGCCCAAGUUAGUCAACUGAAGCUGGCUCAAGGCUGCCCCCUUUAGGUGGAGACUAACCAGCUCCCUGACAUCCUUCAGUUAACUGCACCUUCCUCCUUUUUGCUGCCUGGAAUGUCUACAUGCUGCCUGGAGCUAUGGCAGCCAUCUUGUGACCAUGAGGCAAACCCUAUGUGCAAGAGCAGGAAGCUGGAAAGAACCUGUCAGCCCUGGAUUGCUUCCUCUGUGACCCCCAUUACCUGGGAGAGAACACAUCUUUCUCUUGUUUAAGGCGUUCUUAUUCCCAGUCGCCCUCUCUCCCCUGUAUAACCCUAAAAGCACAGGAGUACACUUGUGACUGUGACUUAAGUUUUUCAGAACGGGGGAGUUUGGAUUGUUUAGUCCUCUCUCCAUGAAUAGUGAAUAGCAAUGCCAGGUGAGUUCCUUCAAAGCUGGGGGGUGAAGGGGUGGAGGUGGAAAAGUAGGAUUGAGGAUGGGAAAUAAAAACAAACAAAUGACACCAUCCAGGGAGAUUUGUCACAUUUUAUUCAGUAUUUCUGCUGCACUGCCAGCCUAGGGAUGCACUUGAUUCCCAAGAAAUGCAACUGUCCUAUUCGCAGAGCCGUCCACAGGUACCUACCCCCUGGACUGCAGCAACUUUAUUACCUUAACUAGCACAGAACAGAGGUUGAUUUAAACUCCUUACACUCACUUCUCAGAUCAAUGAAUGGGCAAAGAAACACCUCAUGGCUCUGGGAAGGCAUGCUGAGACCCGUUUUUGCAAGUCCUGAGGAAUGGAAGAAUAUAGCUGCCAGGUAUCCCAAGUCUAGGGCAGGGAGGGUAGUAUCGGCAUCACUUUCACUGCAUUCUGUUGGUCAACGCAAGUCAGAGGCUCAGCCCAGAUCCAAGGGCAGGGAAGAGGCUCCAUCGUGUAGUUGGGCUCACUUGGAAGGUAAUGGGAGGAGUUGGUGGCUGCUUUAAGACACAUACCACAUCUAGAUUUCAACCUCCAGAAAAGUCCAAAGAUGCACUCACAGGAGCCCGUUAGUCAACUGAAGCUGGUUCAUGGCUCUCUUCUUCAGGUGGAGACUAACCAACUCCCUGACCUCCUUCGGUUAAGUGCUCCUUCCUUUUUCCUGCUGCCUGGAAUGUCUAUGUGCCAUCUGGAGCUAUGGCAGCCUUCUUGCAACCAUGAGGCAAACUCUAUGUGCAAGAGCAGGUAGCUAGAAAGAGCCUGCCAGCCCUGGGCUUAUAUCCUGCUUCCCAGGGAGCUUAAAGAUAGCAAAACCCACAGCCAUUUUCAUCAAAUGCCAGGAAAUUCUUAGGCUGGGAUUGUUGGGAUUGUUUGAAUGGUUGAGCGUGAAAGACUUGUUAUAAUGGGCUUGUUGAAUACGGUGAAAGAUGAGAUGGCUUUUAGCUGCCUCCACUCCCCGUGUCCCAUGCUCCAUAGAUGUUUCUUUUUUUUUUUUUUUUUAAUCAUUUUUUGGUUAUGCCAGGUGUCUCCUGUGUGUCCCUCCAGAUCCCUCUCCAGCCCUAGAAACCUGAGCUCUAUAAAUGUUGCCUCUCUCCACUCAUCUUCUCUUUGGCUUCAGGUUGAGUUCAGCCAACAGAUGCCCCUGUAGGAUUUGGACACAGGGAGCCAGGGGAGAGGGGCAUCAGCUGCCUGGUUAGCAGGGCUGUGAUGAUUCUUCUACCUAUGACUCUCAGUGCUGUUGCCUCUUCCUCUGGAUCUUGGAAGCUUCCAUGCUGAGGUCUGAAGGUUCCCAUGGCUGUCUCUUUGCCCAAGGGGCAAACUUUCCAUCAGGGCAUCUUCUGUGCCUCUGAGGAUCAUUUUCCAAUUAUAGGCAAUGGUAGUACGUGUUUCAGUGCAGAAUGAGAUAGAGUUGUUUAAUUUGACAAUAAAGCGAUGCGUCAAAAACCUCAGUCAACACAGUAAGUGUUUUCUUGUUUUCCUGCUGACCAACCUAAUUCUGGUUUCAUACAGGGCAGCCAGGUGCCCACCUAAAAGACUGCACUUCUCAACUUCCAGUUGUUUCUAUGGAUAAUGGUUGGAAGCAGAAAUUGGGUUGGGGCUUCCAGAUAAUCCCCCCUCACAGGGACUGCUUCAAGAGAAAGGGAUGCCCUUUGGUUCUUUCUCCUUUCCACUGCCUGGAAUGUGAUGUCUGACACUGUGGCAGCCAUACUGGCAUAAUGAGGCCAACUCUCUGCCAUGCUAAGAGUGGCAGAGCUGGGAAUUGAAAAGAGCCUGCUAGCCUUGGGUUGCUUCCCCUUGA
rnacentral:lncRNA from 1 species